AACGAACGCUGGCGGCGCGCCUAAUACAUGCAAGUCGAGCGAGAAGGUGUAGCAAUACACUUGUAAAGCGGCGAACGGGUGAGGAAUACAUGGGUAACCUACCCUCGAGUGGGGAAUAACUAGCCGAAAGGUUAGCUAAUACCGCAUACGAUUCCAGGACUUCGGUUUUGGAAGGAAAGCACUACCGUGGGUAGUGCGCUCCUGGAUGGGCUCAUGUCCUAUCAGCUUGUUGGUGAGGUAAUGGCUCACCAAGGCUUCGACGGGUAGCUGGUCUGAGAGGACGAUCAGCCACACUGGCACUGCGACACGGGCCAGACUCCUACGGGAGGCAGCAGUAAGGAAUAUUGCGCAAUGGGCGACAGCCUGACGCAGCGACGCCGCGUGGGGGAUGAAGGUCUUCGGAUU
rnacentral:rRNA from 1 species